GAUAGCUACUACGGCUUACCAUGCAAGUCGAGGGGCAGCAUGGGCUUAGCUUGCUAAGCCCGAUGGCGACCGGCGCACGGGUGAGUAACACGUAUCCAACCUGCCGAUCACUCCGGUACAGCCUUUCGAAAGAAAGAUUAAUCCCGGAUGGCAUGGCGAUUCCGCAUGGUUUCUCCAUUAAAGGUUUUUUUCCGGUGAUCGAUGGGGAUGCGUUCCAUUAGGCAGUUGGCGGGGUAACGGCCCACCAAACCUACGAUGGAUAGGGGUUCUGAGAGGAAGGUCCCCCACAUUGGAACUGAGACACGGUCCAAACUCCUACGGGAGGCAGCAGUGAGGAAUAUUGGUCAAUGGGCGGAAGCCUGAACCAGCCAAGUAGCGUGAAGGAUGACUGCCCUAUGGGUUGUAAACUUCUUUUAUAAGGGAAUAAUUGCGGGUACGCGUACCUGUUUGCAUGUACCUUAUGAAUAAGGAUCGGCUAACUCCGUGCCAGCAGGCGCGGUAAU
rnacentral:rRNA from 1 species